GAAGGCUAUGGCGCUGCAACAGUUUAUUUUAUGUUUUUUAUUUGCCCUAUCUAAUGGAAAUGUAUACUCACUCGAAGCGCGCAAUAGCCAACAAAAGGAAGGCCAGAAGGAUUUCCCUAUUGAUAAGUUUAUGAACACAAGCAAACCAUUAUGGGUCUACAACACCACCAAAAGCAACAGUGAUAUUUGUAGAGUCGACGUCAACCAACACAUGAAUGCAACACAUACAUCCUUCAAGAGAUAUAGUGGUUCGAACAGCGAAAGAGGGGAAAAUGACCUUGUUGGAAAGUUUAGCUAUUACUACGAGACUGAAAACAAUCAUACCUAUGAUAAAAUGGAUGUUUUCGACGGGACCACUAAAAUCACUGAAGAGGUAAUGGAAUAUUUAAGUAAUGACAGCAAGUGCGCCGUUGUUUCGGUUAUGUCUCAAUCCG
rnacentral:lncRNA from 1 species